rnacentral:rRNA from 1 species
UACGUAGGGGGCUAGCGUUGUCCGGAAUCAUUGGGCGUAAAGCGCGUGUAGGCGGUCCGGUAAGUCCGCUGUGAAAGUCGGGGGCUCAACCCUCGGAUGCCGGUGGAUACUGUCGGGCUUGAGUACGGAAGAGGCGAGUAGAAUUCCUGGUGUAGCGGUGAAAUGCAUAGAUAUCGUCAAGAACACCGAUAGCGAAGGCAGCUUACUGGGCUGUAACUGACGCUGAGGCACGAAAGUGUGGGGAUCAAACAGG